GCGUCGGGAGAGCCGCACUGACGCGGCUCGUCGAAGGGUCUUUCGCCCGGCGG
rfam:Ipomoea nil DNA, scaffold: scaffold1973, cultivar: Tokyo-kokei standard.